UGAACUGGGUGGCUAGAGUGUGUCAGAGGGGGGUAGAAUUCCACGUGUAGCAGUGAAAUGCGUAGAGAUGUGGAGGAAUACCGAUGGCGAAGGCAGCCCCCUGGGAUGGCACUGACGUUCAUGCCCGAAAGCGUGGGUAGCAAACAGGAUUAGAUACCCUGGUAGUCCACGCCCUAAACGAUGUCGAUUAGCUGUUGGGCAACUUGAUUGCUUGGUAGCGAAGCUAACGCGUGAAAUCGACCGCCUGGGGAGUACGGUCGCAAGAUUAAAACUCAAAGGAAUUGACGGGGACCCGCACAAGCGGUGGAUGAUGUGGAUUAAUUCGAUGCAACGCGAAGAACCUUACCUGGUCUUGACAUGUACGGAACCUUCCGGAGACGGAAGGGUGCCUUCGGGAGCCGUAACACAGGUGCUGCAUGGCUGUCGUCAGCUCGUGUCGUGAGAUGUUGGGUUAAGUCCCGCAACGAGCGCAACCCUUGUCAUUAGUUGCCAUCAUUUGGUUGGGCACUCUAAUGAGACUGCCGGUGACAAGCCGGAGGAAGGUGGGGAUGACGUCAAGUCCUCAUGGCCCUUAUGACCAGGGCUUCACACGUCAUACAAUGGUCGGUACAGAGGGUAGCCAAGCCGCGAGGUGGAGCCAAUCCCAAAAAACCGAUCGUAGUCCGGAUUGCACUCUGCAACUCGAGUGCAUGAAGUCGGAAUCGCUAGUAAUCGCAGGUCAGCAUACUGCGGUGAAUACGUUCCCGGGUCUUGUACACACCGCCCGUCACACCAUGGGAGUGGGGGAUACCAGAAGCAGGUAGGCUAACCGCAAGGGGGCCGCUUGCCACGGUAUGCUUCAUGACUGGGGUGAAGUCGUAACAAGGUAGCCGUAGGGGAACC
rnacentral:rRNA from 1 species